rnacentral:rRNA from 1 species
UACGUAGGGUGCAAGCGUUAAUCGGAAUUACUGGGCGUAAAGCGUGCGCAGGCGGUUAUGUAAGACAGUUGUGAAAUCCCCGGGCUCAACCUGGGAACUGCAUCUGUGACUGCAUAGCUAGAGUACGGUAGAGGGGUAUGGAAUUCCGCGUGUAGCAGUGAAAUGCGUAGAUAUGCGGAGGAACACCGAUGGCGAAGGCAAUCCCCUGGACCUGUACUGACGCUCAUGCACGAAAGCGUGGGGAGCAAACAGG